rnacentral:rRNA from 1 species
UACAGAGGGUGCGAGCGUUAAUCGGAGUUACUGGGCGUAAAGGGCGCGUAGGCGGUUAUAUAAGUGAGAUGUGAAAUCCCUGGGCUUAACCUAGGAACUGCAUCUCAUACUGUAUGACUGGAGUAUUGUAGAGGGUAGUGGAAUUUCCGGUGUAGCGGUGAAAUGCGUAGAGAUCGGAAGGAACACCAGUGGCGAGGGCGGCUACCUGGACAAAUACUGACGCUGAGGCGCGAGAGCGUGGGGAGCAAACAGG